rnacentral:rRNA from 1 species
CCUACGGGAGACAGCAGUGGGGAAUAUUGCGCAAUGGGCGAAAGCCUGACGCAGCGACGCCGCGUGAGGGAUGAAGGUCUUCGGAUCGUAAACCUCUGUCAGCAGGGAAGAACGGUCACUGUGCUAAUCAGCAGUGAAUUGACGGUACCUGCAAAGGAAGCACCGGCUAACUCCGUGCCAGCAGCCGCGGUAAUACGGAGGGGGCGAGCGUUAAUCGGAAUUACUGGGCGUAAAGCGCUCGUAGGCGGUAGGUCAAGUCAAGGGUGAAAUCCCCGCGCGCACCGUGGUAACUGCCUUUGAAACUGGCAACCUGGAGUGUGUUAGAGCAUAGUGGAAUUCCAGGUGUAGUC